GUUUCUGUAGUGUAGUGGUCAUCAAGUGUACUUCACACGCGCAAGGUACCCAGUUCGAUCCAUUGAUGGAAACC